rnacentral:rRNA from 1 species
GCAAGUCGAACGGUAGGAAGUGCUUGCACUUCCGAGAGUGGCGAACGGGUGAGUAACACGUAGAUGAUCUACCUUUUAGUUGGGGAUAGCCCAUGGAAACAUGGAGUAAUACCGAAUAAUCUCUUAUUGCUUUAGUGGUUUGAGGAAAGAAGCGUUUGCUUCGCUGAAAGAUGAGUCUGCGCACUAUUAGCUAGUUGGUGGGGUAAGAGCCUACCAAGGCGACGAUAGUUAGCCGACCUGAGAGGGUGAUC